rnacentral:snoRNA from 1 species
UGAUGAUGGUGAGGGUAAAUUUUGAGCAUACCCUUAAAUCUCUCUCAAGCUUGGUAGAGAUUCUCUCCUCCUUUUUGUCUAAAACUCAAGAUCUCAUUCCUCAAGCA